UUUCUUCCAGAAUAUUCACCCUACCUUCCUCCCAUCACAGCAUCAAGCUGAUUUAUUUCUGUGUCCAGUAUCCCGGCCUCAUCCAUUCUUCCUGAUAACCUGUUCCAGUCAUUAAUUACCAUCUGGGUAAAGAAAUAGCUCCUGGUAUCUGUUCUGAAAUUGCUCUUUGAAAUCUUAAACCGGUGUCCUCUUUUUCUGCUGUCUCAGUGCAUCCAGAGGAAUAUCAUGCCAUAUGCUAACAGUGCAAAGCGUUCAACAGGAAAGAUGUGAUCUUUUCAUACUCAACUGAUCAAAGCUCAGAAUGUCAGUCCGAUAUUCAUUUCUAAAAAAAAAUGGUGUUUAAGAGAAUUUAGAGUGGACAUCAAUUUAUCACAAGGGAGCUGCACAACCAUCCAUAACUGUGAACGGCAAGGAUAUGUAUCCCAUAAUGGAUAUCCUGCCUACGGCUCAGAUUGGGAUCGACUCCAGUAUGCUUUGUUGAAUCAUAUGAAUGUCAGUUAUUGUUGCAGAAACCUUUGUGCAUGUGCUUCGUCUGCCAGAUGUGUCAUUCGAGAAGUGAUCACUACCCAUAGCUCUGCCUGAUCAAGCAUGAUGGCAUUCUGCCAUCAAAUGAGCUGGUGAUGCAAAAACAAUGGUCUGCAUCUAUUUGUGAGCUCGGGGAUGUUGGGUGUGUUAUUUGCCAUGCAUUGUAGAUACCAAAGCUGUAGAUAAACUGAUUAUAUGUAAUUAAAAAGAGAAAACAUUGUUACUGAUUUGGUGGACAUUUCUCUGAGCUAUCUUUAUGUGGAUUCCUGGUUCUUUGGAUAUCAAAAAUGAUAUACGUACUGAGUCUUCAAUAAAAUACAAGUACUUGACUGUCUUCUGGUACCCAGACCAUGCAGUUGUUUUCCUGUGUGAGUUGGUGAAUAAACUAGUGAACAUACCCACUGAGUCAUGGAUUCCUGCUGCUGCUUCUUGUAGAAUACCAUGAGUCACAUGUUACAAAUAAAUAGCUUCACUGAACUG